rnacentral:rRNA from 1 species
AAUCAACGCUGGCGGCGUGCCUAACACAUGCAAGUCGAACGCGAAAGUCCCGCAAGGGGCAAGUAGAGUGGCGCACGGGUGAGUAACACGUGGAUAACCUGCCUUCGAGUGAGGAAUAACCUUCCGAAAGGAGGGCUAAUACCGCAUAACACCUUGAGACAAAAGUCUCGAGGUUAAAAGGAGCAAUUCGCUUGAAGAGGGGUCCGCGCCUGAUUAGCUAGUUGGUGAGGUAACGGCNCACCAAGGCUAUGAUCAGUAGCCGUCCUGAGAGGGAGCACGGCCACACUGGAACUGAGACACGGUCCAGACUCCUACGGGAGGCAGCAGUGGGGAAUUUUUGGCAAUGGGCGAAAGCCUGACCAAGCAACGCCGCGUGGGUGA